rnacentral:rRNA from 1 species
GACGAACGCUGGCGGCGUGCCUAACACAUGCAAGUCGUACGGGACCGGGGGCGAACUCCGGUUCAGUGGCAGACGGGUGCGUAACACGUGAGGAACUUGUCCGGUGGCGGGGGAUAGCCGGCCCAACGGCCGGGUAAUACCGCAUACGCUCGUUCGGGGGCAUCCCUGGGCGAGGAAAGCAGCCGCAAGGUUGCGCCGACGGAGGGCCUCGCGACCUAUCAGCUUGUUGGCGGGGUAACGGCCCACCAAGGCGACGACGGGUAGCUGGUCUGAGAGGAUGAUCAGCCACAUUGGGACUGAGACACGGCCCAGACUCCUACGGGAGGCAGCAGUGGGGAAUAUUGCGCAAUGGCCGCAAGGCUGACGCAGCGACGCCGCGUGUGGGAUGACGGUCUUCGGAUUGU